GGGCAGUUAGUUCAGUGGUUAGAACGCGUCGUUGACAUCGACGAGGUCGGAGGUCCGAUUCCUCCACUGCCCA
rnacentral:tRNA from 5 species